GACGAACGCUGGCGGCGGGCUUAACACAUGCAAGUCGAACGGAAAGGCCCAGCUUUUGUGGGGUGCUAGAGUGGCGAACGGGUGAGUAACACGUGAGUAACCUGCCCUCGACUUUGGGAUAACUUCAGGAAACUGGGGCUAAUACCGGAUAGGAGCUCCUGCAGCAUGGUGGGGGUUGGAAAGUUUCGGCGGGUGGGGAUGGACUCGCGGCUUGUCAGCUUGUUGGUGGGGUAGUGGCUUACCAAGGCGUUGACGGGUAGACGGCCUGAGAGGGUGACCGGCGACACUGGCACUGAUAUAAGGCCCAGACGCCUACGGGAGGCAUGAGUGGGGAUUGUUGCACAAUGGGCGGAAGCCUGAGGCAGCAACGCCGCGUGUGGGAGUACGGCCUUCGGGUUGUAAACCGCUUUCGCAUGCGACGAAGCGGGAUUGACGGUAAUGGGUAAAGAAGCACCGGCUAACUACGUG
rnacentral:rRNA from 1 species